UAGAAAUGGGGUUUUGCCAUAUUGGCCAGGCUGGUCUCCAACUCCUGACCUCAAGUGAUCUGCCCGCCUAGGCCUCCCAAAGUGCUGGUAUUACAGGCGUGAACCACCACACCCUACCAGGAUACAGUGUUUUUUAAGAAGCACACCUAGCCUUGGAUGGAAAAGCACUUGAGGAGAGUAUGCUGCCUUAUCGGACUCUGUAAACACCUUAUCUCUGCACAAGGUUGGAACUUUGAGUGGAGUCCUUGGCUAAAGGUCUUAUUGCUACAUGGUGACCUUUCUUCCCCCUCCUGCUUAAAGCUUGUUUCAGAAUUUUGAGCGGAAUGCAUCUGUGUUGAAAGCCAGGCUUGGUCUGUCAUCCCAGGACUCUGUGUCGGUCCCUUUCCUUGCUUGUAUGUUGAGUUGGGGCUCAUCUUCGUGCCUCUGGGAAGUAAGCCGAUAGCUUGCUUAGAGGCUCUCAGUACUUUCCCUUGCCCUUAGAAUCAAUACCAAAAUAUGUGGCCUGCAGUGUAGGCUAUGCAUAGCCUUCACUGUAGACUGCUCAGGCCCCUUCUUGGUUCCUGGAGUCUGCCAUGCUUCCUUCUGCCACCAGGCCUUUGUACACGCUGCUGCCUGCUGGGAGUGCCUUGCCUUUCCUCGUUACUUACUUCUCCUCUACUCAUCUUGCAGGCACCAGCUUGACUGUCUUCCUUUGGGGAAACUUCCCUGACUUUGGUACACCAGAUCAGCCCCCAUGUGCUGACCUUGUCUCAUUGGUAAUAUUUCUCUACUUUUAGGACUCAUAUCAAGGCCCAGAAGUUGCAGUUUUGCAUUUGUUCCUGUGAUCAUUUGAUGCAUGUCUCUCUAGAGCCUGACUCUUUGGGGCUUACGUCCUGUCUCCACCACUUUUAGCUGUGGGACCUUGAACAAAUCAUUUCAUCUCUGGUCCCCAGUUUCUUUUAACUGCAAAUCAGGGAUGAUAUAAUACUUUCACCUACCUUGUGAGGUGGGGAUGAAGAUUAAAUAGGGUAAUUUGUGUAAAGCACUUAGAGCUAAUUAUUAAUACUAGAGAAUCUUGGCAGGUUUUACUGAUGAUUACUGCAGUGACCCACAAGCUCCAUACAGGCAGGGGUCAUUUCUGUUUGUUUAGAUUUAUAUGCAGGGUGCUUGGCAUAUGGAUGGUGCUCAGGAAACAUUUGUUUGAUGAAUGAAUCAAGUGGAGAUAAUAGUAAUACCAUGUAUAUAGAAUUCCAUGAGGAUAUAAAAUAAUGCAAGUAUGUAAGUUCUGGGUAGCAUGUCUAGCUCAUAGUAAGUGGUCAAUAAAUAUUCAAUGCCUGAAUGAGGAAAACGGGGUUGUCAUGGGGAUCUAAGGUAACCCUGUAGUACCUUAUAGAGUGCCUAGCACAUAGUAGGUGCUAAGAAAAUAUUUGUUGAAUGAAUGAGUGAAGUGGGGAUGAUGUUAACACCAGCUCCUAUGGUUGCUGCAGGGAUAGAAGAUAAGGCAGGUCGAUAGCUUGUUGUGGUUGUGCCUGGUAGACACUCUGUUGAGUGAAAUGAGAGGAGCUGCUAUGAGUUUCUUUCUCCUGGGGCUUGGGAGAGAAUCCUUUUGGGGCGUAGAAUGGUGUGGAGCGGAUACUGGUCCUCUUGAAGGAUGAAUGGGCAGCUGACUACUCCUUGCCAAGCUGUGGCCUGGAUGAAAAGUUGAAUUGUUCCUUUUCCUCUUCCUCCCUAACCUGUUCUUUCUUUCCUCUAGAAUCCUUGCUCAGAGUCCAGCGCCUCCUUCCUGUCCAGGAUCACCUUCUGGUGGAUCACAGGGCUUUCGCUCUGUC